rnacentral:rRNA from 1 species
AGAGGUGAAAUUCUAGGACCGGUUCAAGACAAACUACUGCGAAAGCAUCUGGCAAGGAUGUUUUCAUUAAUCAAGAACAAAAGUUGUGGGCGCGAAGAUAAUCAAAUACCAUCGUAGUCGCAACUAUAAACUUUGUUGCCCAAGGGGUAGUGGUAGUUACAUGAUGACACCCCUAUAACUUUGUGAGAAAUCACAAGUAUUUGGACUCUGGGGGAAGUAUGGUCGCAAGGCUGAAACUUAAAGGAAUUGACGGAAGGGCACCACCAGGAGUGGAACCUGCAGCUUAAUGAAUUAGGUCGUAAAAGUGGAUAUGAUAAAAAAGUAUCUGCUAGUCACAAGGAUGUGUGGCAACGCCAUCAAAUUGCGGGAAGUCCCUAAAGCUCCAACUCCCAAGCACAUUCAGAAAUGUUUGUGUGGCCGGGGUAUAAUGACCCCUAGGGUAAGGGAAAAAUGUUGGAGAUACUACAAUGGGUAAUCUGCAGCCAAGUCCUAAGGAGGGGAAAAUUCUUCCUUUACCCCUCUAUGGAUGCAGUUCACAGACUAAAUGUUGGCGGGCAUAGGUUUGCGCGCGCACACAAGUUGGCGCAUCUUUGCUCAAGAUAUAGUCGGCCCCACUGUGAAAGCAGUGUCUACGAGGAGGAAAUGUGUAGAACAUCCCAUCUUUAUUGCAAAGAUCCUACACAUGGAGAGCCUGUAGAGAACAGUAAACUGUUCGGAAUAUGUGUAAUUUGACUCAACACGGGGAAACUUACCAGGUCCAGACACAAUAAGGAUUGACAGAUUGAUAGCUCUUUCUUGAUUCUGUGGAAAGUGGUGCAUGGCCGUUUUUAGUUGGUGGAUUGAUUUGUCUGGUUUAUUCCGUUAACAAACGAGACCUAAACCUACUAACUAGUUAAUGGUAACUUGGACUCUAUAUUAGGGACCUCACCUUUAUCCAAACUUCUUAGAGGGACUCUUUAUACUUAGUGAAUGGAAGUUUUAGGCAACAACAGGUCUGUGAUGCCCUUAGAUGUUCUGGGCCGCACGCGCGUUACAAUGAAAUGCUCAAUGA